CCCAGACUCCUACGGGAGGCAGCAGUGAGGAAUAUUGGUCAAUGGGCGAGAGCCUGAACCAGCCAAGUAGCGUGCAGGAAGACGGCCCUAUGGGUUGUAAACUGCUUUUAUAAGGGAAUAAAGUGAGCCUCGUGAGGCUUUUUGCAUGUACCUUAUGAAUAAGGACCGGCUAAUUCCGUGCCAGCAGCCGCGGUAAUACGGAAGGUCCGGGCGUUAUCCGGAUUUAUUGGGUUUAAAGGGAGCGUAGGCCGGUGAUUAAGCGUGUUGUGAAAUGUAGAUGCUCAACAUCUGAACUGCAGCGCGAACUGGUUUCCUUGAGUACGCGCAAAGUGGGCGGAAUUCGUGGUGUAGCGGUGAAAUGCUUAGAUAUCACGAAGAACUCCGAUUGCGAAGGCAGCUCACUGGAGCGCAACUGACGCUGAAGCUCGAAAGUGCGGGUAUCGAACAGGAUUAGAUACCCCAGUA
rnacentral:rRNA from 1 species